GGCUGGGUAGCUCAGUUGGUUACCUGCCGUAGCACUCAUAACGCUAAGGUCGAGAGUUCGAGCCUCUCCUCAGCCA
rnacentral:tRNA from 1 species